rnacentral:ncRNA from 2 species
UGAAUCCGCGCGGGAGAGCCCUCGGCAGUCGUUCGCCGGGGCGCCGAAGGAGCAAGUCCCUCCCUUGAAUCUCUCAGGCCCAGAUACCGCGCGGGCGAG